rnacentral:lncRNA from 1 species
AUUAUUUUUGGGUAGUAAUCCAUUCUAGUUUCUGUAUAAGGUAUCUUCAUGUCAAAAUGGUUAUUGUAUUUAAUUGUCACUGUUGCAUUUUGAAUGAGGUUACAUGAUUAAUUUGUGUGUUCCUAAAGUUAUAUUCAAAUUAUUUUCUGUGUCUAAAUCCUAUCCUAUUUUUUGUGUUAAGUAGCUUACAAUUUUAGUCUCGUUUGAGUUCCUACAGGUUCAGUUCCAAGUAAGGUAUAUUUAGCCUAAGUUUGAUGAGCAUUUUUGUUUCCAAUCUGAUUGCUUUCUUCAUGAAGUGUGUUUCUAAGACCUAAAUGACGUAUAAUUUCUUUGUAUUUAGUGAAGUUUACCCUUAUCCCAUGCCUAAAUUCUCUGAAUAUGGUUAAGAUUUUAUAGCGUUACUUUCGCUUUUGUUUUAGAUUACAAAUCCGUAAUGACCUGGCUCGGCCUUCUAAGCAUCUCAUAUCAGCAUCUCUUGUUGCAUGUACUAGUAAAAUUCUCAUGGUAAAUGCUUUAGUUUUCGAGAGUAUAUUUUCUUUGUAGUAAUUUAAGUUUACAAUGUGCACUUAUUAAACCUCUGUUAGUCUUAGGUAUGAGAUUUGUUUAUUUCAUUUUUCGGUUCGCCUUAGUUUCGUUAGUUGAAGAUUUUGGGUGAAUGAUGUUGUAAAGAAUGUCUUGUUGAGUUCAUCUUAAUUAGCAAAGUUAUGUAGUAAUAUGUUUUGAUACUUAGGAUUAGGGGCGUGCAUCGGUCGAUUCGGUUCGGUUUAUGUAUUAUCGGUUCGGUUUAUCGGUUUUCGGUUUUUAAAUACACUAAAUCAAUAACGAACCAAUAAGAUAAUUUUUUAUCGGUUUUGGUCCUUAACGGUUCGGUUUUUGGUUUAACCAUAAGAAAAUGCUUAUAAAAUAAAUAUAUGACUUCUCUAAUAAAUUUGACACGACAAGACAAUAAUGUAACUUUACAAAAAGCUCAUAAAAAUAGAAAUAAUAAUAACAAAAAUGAAAAGAACUAUACAUGUGUAACACCAAAGAGAAAUCAAGAGGAAUAUGGUUCUUACUUUAGGUUUUGACGAUUUGUAAAAUGUAAAGUUGUGAAACUCAAAGUCACAACGAAGUAUGAAUUGAUGUCUAAAUGACAAAGACAUAACUAUUAAGAUAUUGAGAUUAAUAUUUACUAAUAUGUAAAAGUAGUAAAUUACUAUAGUCUUAACUCUUAAUGGGUUAUCGGUUUAUCCAAUAACUCAAUAUUGAAAACCAAUACCGAAUCGAUAACCCGAUAAUUUUUUUUUAUAAAACCAUUAAGAUACUGCUAACCCAAUAACUCAAUAACAAUAAAUCAAUAACACUUUUUUUGAUUUGAUUUAUCAAUCGGUUCAGUUUUUGCACACCCCUAUUUAGGAUUCUGUCAUGAUAGUUUGGGUUAGAAAAGAGUUAAGAUUUUUAUGGACACGUGAUUGAACCCUUCAUAUGAGUUGUUGCCUUUUCCAGAAAAUGAUUUGCACCAGUAGAUUUUAAGUGAGUCUAAUUAUGAUGAAUAUCCUUUCAAUACAGUAUUGGUGUGUCUUUGUUGGUAUUUCAUUUAAAAUUUUAUUUAAUUAUGGUUAGAAGUUUGUACCAAGUUUGCAACAAAGGUUUUGUCAUCUUAGUCAAAGCAUUUACAUAAUUUGGAAUUCAUUCUUCUGCCCUCAUAUGUUUGCAUUUUCAAAUUUUGAGUUGUUGUGACUUUCUUCCUUAUCCUAAUCUUUAUCAUUUUUUAUUGCAUGAGCUCACUCCAUCCGAGUCUACUUUGGACUCCCCUCCUUCCAAUUUCGAGUAUCGAGUCAGCCAUAGGUGUCCGAGGGUGUAAGGGAAGCAGAUUACAGGUCUUGGAAAGCAGAAAAAUGAGUUAUAUAUAUUCGAUAUACACUGAUAUACAACUAAUGUAUACAAAAACGGAAAUUUGGUAAAAGCCCAAAUAUUGCAGCGAAAUUGGCUAAAAAAGGAGGCCCAAAUUCAUUUCUCUUUUACCUUUAAAUUGUUUAAUUGUCUUUAUUUAUUGUUUGUUUUUUCUAUCAUUAACUCUAACUUUAGAAUUGUUAAUUAACUUAAUUAGAUUCCCCAAAAGAUGAG